AAAAUUUAGGUGUUGGACUCCCCUUCGGCUUCACAUGGCCAGCCCUAAUUUCUUAAUCCAAACCUAAUCACACACAAAUACACAAUCACGCUGCCUACAAUAGAUUUGGUCAUCUGCUGUGCUGCUUGCCGACAACAAAUUGCUGCUCUUCGUCUUCGUCUUCGUCUUCGUCCUCAUCCCCGAUCUCUAGCUUGCUGGCUAUUCCCAUUUCCUUUUGUUUCGCAACUUAAUGGUUGUUGCCGGUAGCCUGCUACCUUCUUCAACUCCGAGCUAUAGCUAAUGCCUUCUUAAUUUAGAUUUUCUUCAAGUUCGAGUUGCUGCUACUGUAUUCUUUUGUGAGAGGUAAGCUGAUGGGUUCUUUCAUUUGUACACUAGGGUUUGGGGUUCUCUGAUCAGAAUAUAUCGGCUGGUCUGGUGAUUGCUCAACCGCCGUCGAUUUUUGAGGUGCCGCCCAGGUUGAGCCCCGCAAUUCUACUUGACUCGCUAAAUUUCAGUUUGUUUUCGCCUACACAGGUAAUUCAAUUUAACUUUGUCUGACCUAAAGUUUCUUCAUUUAUUCAUUAGAUUUUAGCUUGUUUAGGAAAGCUUUCAUUUUUAUUGGGUUUCGCAUUUAAAUUCUAAUAAUCCUUGGGUUUGAAUUUUGAUUUUUUUUUUUUUGGAGGGAUGGAAAAUUUUCUUCAUUGCCUUGAUUUGUUAGCAGUCGGUUGGAAUUUUGAAUUAGAGCUUGCUGAAGCAUUUAUUAUAGAAUUUAUAAAUGUGCCCUGUAAUUGGGAUAAAAACUCUUGACUUAAUUAAUCUGACAGAAGAACAUUUUGAGCAAUGUUGUAAUGUGAUUGUGCAUUGCUGAGAUAAUCUCAUCUUGUUUUGGUAUUCUAACCAAUAAAAAAAAAUUUAAGUGUUGGACUCCCCUUCGGCUUCACAUGGCAAGCCCUAAUUUCUUAAUCCAAACCUAAUCACACACAAAUACACAAUCACGCUGCCUACAAUAGAUUUGGUCAUCUGCUGUGCUGCUUGCCGACAACAAAUUGCUGCUCUUCGUCUUCGUCUUCGUCUUCGUCCUCAUCCCCGAUCUCUAGCUUGCUGGCUAUUCCCAUUUCCUUUUGUUUCGCAACUUAAUGGUUGUUGCCGGUAGCCUGCUACCUUCUUCAACUCCGAGCUAUAGCUAAUGCCUUCUUAAUUUAGAUUUUCUUCAAGUUCGAGUUGCUGCUACUGUAUUCUUUUGUGAGAGGUAAGCUGAUGGGUUCUUUCAUUUGUACACUAGGGUUUGGGGUUCUCUGAUCAGAAUAUAUCGGCUGGUCUGGUGAUUGCUCAACCGCCGUCGAUUUUUGAGGUGCCGCCCAGGUUGAGCCCCGCAAUUCUGCUUGACUCGCUAAAUUUCAGUUUGUUUUCGCCUACACAGGUAAUUCAAUUUAACUUUGUCUGACCUAAAGUUUCUUCAUUUAUUCAUUAGAUUUUAGCUUGUUUAGGAAAGCUUUCAUUUUUAUUGGGUUUCGCAUUUAAAUGCUAAUAAUCCUUGGGUUUGAAUUUUGAUUUUUUUUUUUUUGGAGGGAUGGAAAAUUUUCUUCAUUGCCUUGAUUUGUUAGCAGUCGGUUGGAAUUUUGAAUUAGAGCUUGCUGAAGCAUUUAUUAUAGAAUUUAUAAAUGUGCCCUGUAAUUGGGAUAAAAACUCUUGACUUAAUUAAUCUGACAGAAGAACAUUUUGAGCAAUGUUGUAAUGUGAUUGUGCAUUGCUGAGAUAAUCUCAUCUUGUUUUGGUAUUCUAAGUAUCCAAAUGGACUGGAUAGUAGGCUAUCCAGGUCAAGUUUUAAUGGUAAUUGGGCAUUUUUCUUUCCUGAUUUUAGUUUCAUCUCUUUUUAGAUGAAGCAUAUGGUUAAUGCAAACAAUUAACGAAAGAAAAGCUCUUGGUAUUACUAGUGUUGGAGAUCCAAUUGUCUUCAUGUAAACUGUGAACACUUUUAACUCCCAUAUCUAAGAUAUAGAGAUCUUUAUGUAGCUUUAAGCCAAAUAUGUGAGAAAUUCUCCAAUCUAGUCACAACUUUAUUAGCAACCAAGAAUGAAAGAGUAUUAGCUUCCAGUUAUAAUUUGAUGACCGGAGCUUGAAUGAGUGAGUGAUAACUUGUAUUGUCUAUAUUGCUUUGUAUGUCAUGCCUCACUGGCAUUAUGUUACUUGGGUAUCCAAAUUUUGCGUUUAUCUAUUACUAAUUUCCCUGAUUCAUUGGAUGCAACCUAGGGAGCCUUUAGAAUGAAGCACUAGCAGGCCCUAGCACAGGUCACUGCCCAAGCUG
rnacentral:lncRNA from 1 species